AUUGAACGCUGGCGGCAGGCCUAACACAUGCAAGUCGAGCGGAUGAAGGGAGCUUGCUCCUGGAUUCAGCGGCGGACGGGUGAGUAAUGCCUAGGAAUCUGCCUGGUAGUGGGGGAUAACGUCCGGAAACGGGCGCUAAUACCGCAUACGUCCUGAGGGAGAAAGUGGGGGAUCUUCGGACCUCACGCUAUCAGGUGAGCCUAGGUCGGAUUAGCUAGUUGGUGGGGUAAAGGCCUACCAAGGCGACGAUCCGUAACUGGUCUGAGAGGAUGAUCAGUCACUCUGGAACUGAGACACGGUCCAGACUCCUACGGGAGGCAGCAGUGGGGAAUAUUGGACAAUGGGCGAAAGCCUGAUCCAGCCAUGCCGCGUGUGUGAAGAAGGUCUUCGGAUUGUAAAGCACUUUAAGUUGGGAGGAAGGGCAGUAAGUUAAUACCUUGCUGUUUUGACGUUACCAACAGAAUAAGCACCGGCUAACUUCGUG
rnacentral:rRNA from 1 species